GAAUAUUCUUCCUUCUUGGUUUGGAGUCGCCUUCUAUGAUCCGGAGGCCAGCUUAGGUGUCCCUGUCACAUACUCUCAUUGUCCUUGCGCUUCCCAACAGCAGCAUUCUUCACUCAGCUUAAGGUUGCCUCCUUGUAAAUGUCCCCGCCGCGGGGGCAGGGAAGGUGACAGACACCCUGGAUCUUAACUCCUGGCACCGGGGUCUGCUCAGAGCCAUCAGUCCAUGGCGGAACUUCUUAGUCCCUGGUCCUCUCUGGAGAAAGAGGAGAGGGAGUUUGAUCUCAGUUGUUGUCGUGGGUUGGCACACCAAGGUUUGGAGGAGGGUGUGAAGGACCCCUCUCAGGAGUCCCCGUCCAGGCAGAGGGAAAACAUUCAGAGAGCAAAAGCACAGGCAGCCUGGAGUAGCCUCGAGGGGGAGGGACUGUCGGGAGCAGAGGCAGCAGGGAUGAGGGGUCUUCUAGAGAAGAGAGCAGCACAGGAACUCAGGGGUGAUGGAGGUAAGAAGCAAGAACUUGCUGUCUUCAGUGCCUGGAGGAAAGCAAGACAGGAA
rnacentral:lncRNA from 1 species